rnacentral:lncRNA from 1 species
CUGGUAUCACAGGUUGGCUGGCAAUAGGAUCCCCUAGAGGAACAGAUAGACUUGAGUUUCCUCUAUCAUCAGACACACAAUCAGAACUAGUAGAAAGAUGAGCAGCUGCAGAUUUCCUUCUCUUGGUGUAAGAGUUGUUUUGAGGAAAACCAUGGAGCUUGAAACACUUAUCAAUAAAGUGUCCAGACUUCUUGCAAUAUCUGCAAAAUAAGUUUCCUCUAUUUUGCUCAAAGUUGACU